AACGAACGCUGGCGGCAUGCCUAACACAUGCAAGUCGAACGGGAUCCUAGCUUGCUAGGUGAGAGUGGCGGACGGGUGAGUAACACGUGGGAAUCUGCCUUUUGGUUCGGGAUAACCGCGGGAAACUGCGGCUAAUACCGAAUGCCCUCGAGAGAGGAAAGAUUUAUCGCCAGAAGAGGAGCCCGCGUCCGAUUAGGUAGUUGGUGGGGUAAAGGCCUACCAAGCCGACGAUCGGUAGCUGGUCUGAGAGGAUGAUCAGCCACACUGGGACUGAGAUACGGCCCAGACUCCUACGGGAGGCAGCAGUGGGGAAUAUUGGACAAUGGGGGCAACCCUGAUCCAGCAAUGCCGCGUGAGUGAUGAAGGCCUUAGGGUUGUAAAGCUCUUUUGCCAGGGGAAGAUAGAUGACUGUACCUGGAGAAUAACGGCCCCGGCUAACUUCGUGCCAGCAGCCGCGGUAAU
rnacentral:rRNA from 1 species